CUUGGGUCCGGCAUAACCCCGGGAAACUGGGGAUAAUUCCGGAUAACGCAUAUAUGCUGGAAUGCUUUAUGCGUCAAAUGGAUUCGUCUGCCCAAGGAUGGGUCUGCGGCCUAUCAGGUAGUAGUGGGUGUAAUGUACCUACCAGCCGACGACGGGUACGGGUUGUGAGAGCAAGAGCCCGGAGAUGGAUUCUGAGACAUGAAUCCAGGCCCUACGGGGCGCAGCAGGCGCGAAAACUUUACAAUGCGGGAAACCGUGAUAAGGGGACACCGAGUGCCAGCAUCAUAUGCUGGCUGUCCGGGUGUGUAAAAUACACCUGUUAGCAAGGGCCGGGCAAGACCGGUGCCAGCCGCCGCGGUAACACCGGCGGCCCGAGUGGUGAUCGUGAUUAUUGGGUCUAAAGGGUCCGUAGCCGGUUUGGUCAGUCCUCCGGGAAAUCUGACGGCUUAACCGUUAGGCUUUCGGAGGAUACUGCCAGGCUUGGAACCGGGAGAGGUAAGAGGUACUACAGGGGUAGGAGUGAAAUCUUGUAAUCCCUGUGGGACCACCUGUGGCGAAGGCGUCUUACCAGAACGGGUUCGACGGCGAGGGACGAAAGCUGGGGGCACGAACCGGAUUAGAUACCCGGGUAGUCCCAGCCGUAAACGAUGCUCGCUAGGUGUCAGGCAUGGCGCGACCGUGUCUGGUGCCGUAGGGAAGCCGUGAAGCGAGCCACCUGGGAAGUACGGCCGCAAGGCUGAAACUUAAAGGAAUUGGCGGGGGAGCACAACAACGGGUGGAGCCUGCGGUUUAAUUGGACUCAACGCCGGACAACUCACCGGGGGCGACAGCAAUAUGUAGGCCAAGCUGAAGACUUUGCCUGAAUCGCUGAGAGGAGGUGCAUGG
rnacentral:rRNA from 1 species